GUGCUCAUGUGUAAACGAUGAGGUCCACGACCAAACUGAAAUUCCCCUAACCAUCCUCACUCAUUCUCCACUUAACAUCUACAUACAUUGUACAGAGGUAUCCUGGUAAAGCACGAAAUAAAAAAGGCGCUUGGAAGCUGGAAAGAUACGUUGUCUGUCCGCAAUCGGAGGACGCGAUUCUUCAAGUGGUUAUUUUGGCAUAAGAUCAGACCCUCUCCAUCACCAUGUCAGUGAAGACGGAUGGGAAGAGGAAGUGGGCGGUGGUGAGGGGCCAUCUGGGCUCCUCCCAGGACUCAGACACCCAGCUGGAGGCCAACCUGGAGAGUGCCGACCCAGAGCUGUGCAUCCUCAUGCUCCAAGUGCCCAGUGUGGUCAACUACUCUGGGCUGAAGCGUCGUCUGGAGGGCAGCGAGGAGUCCUGGAUGGUCCAGUUCCUGGAGCUGAGUGGGCUGGACCUGCUGCUGGAGGCCCUGGACAGGCUAUCUGGGAGGGGCUGCUCCCGCAUCACAGAUGCCCUGCUGCAGCUUACCUGUGUCAGCUGUGUCCGGGCCGUCAUGAACUCCUCGGCUGGGAUCCACUUUAUCGUGGAGAAUGAGGGCUACAUCCGCAAACUCUCCCAAGCCUUGGACACGUCCAAUACCAUGGUGAAGAAGCAGGUGUUUGAGCUGCUUGCUGCCCUGAGCAUGUUCUCCUCUGAUGGUUACCGUCUGGCCCUGGAUGCCCUGGACCAUUACAAGGGUGUGAAGACCCAGCUGUAUCGCUUCAGUGUGAUCAUGAACGAGCUGCAGGCCACAGACAACAUGCCCUACAUGGUCACCCUCCUCAGUGUCAUCAACGCCAUCAUCUUUGGGACAGACGACCUGCAACAGAGAGACAAGAUCCGCAAGGAAUUUAUUGGAUUACAAUUACUUGAUAUACUGCCCAAAUGUAGAGAUGAGGAGGAUGAGGACUUGAUCAUUCAGUGUGAGGUGUUUGAAGAGGCCAUGUCUGAGGAUGAGGAGGAGCUGCUGAGGGUCUAUGGAGGCAUAGACAUGAGCAGUCACCAGGAGGUGUUCAUCACCCUCUUCAACAAAGUGAGCAGCUCUCCGUCGUCCCGCCAGCUGCUGUCCAUCCUACAAGCCCUGCUGCUGCUGGGGCCCGAGAGGGCUGACAUCUGGCAAGCCUUGGAGGCCAUCACUAACCGGGCCAUUCUGCUGGAUCAAGACUCUCAUAUGGACUCUUGUGAGAUGAUUAUGCAACGCCUGGUGUUCUCCAAGCGCAGGACAGCUGGUGUCGAUGCUGUGGAUGGUCUGCCACCCAAGAAGAUUGAUAAGGCUGUUCAGACCGACAUGGUGGACGAUGACCAAGAAAGAUUGACCAAAUGCUCCACAAAAGUGUCCUCUCCUCCACCUUUCCUAUAUCCCAAUUUGAUGGGACCAGGUCCCCUUCAGUGCCCACCUCCCCCUCCUCCACCCCCCACUCCACCAUUACAACACAUUGGAGGUAGAGUACCCCCACCACCAACUCCUCUACCAGGGAUGCAGGUGCCCCCAGGGUGCCCUCCCCCUCCUCCACCCCCACCAGGAAUGGGCAGUGGAGGACCUCCACCACCCCCACCCUUGCCCGGUAUGCCAGGCCUGCCUCCUCCACCACCACCUCCCCCUGGCAUAGGUGGCAUUGUGGUGGCCCAGAGUAGCCAGUCCCUGGGGUGUGCCUCUGCUGCUGCCUCCAAGGCAGGCCGUUGCCCCACCUUGAGGAUGAAAAAGCUCAACUGGCAGAAACUCAGAGCUGUCACUGAUGGUCAUUCCAUGUGGACUUCAGCUCAGAAAGUUUCUCCUCUGGAGCCCAACUACUCCAGCAUUGAGCAGCUGUUCUGUCUCCCAGUGACCGAACACAAAGACAAGGGGGCAGCUGCUCCUGUCAAAAAGGAGCCUAAAGAGAUCUCCUUUAUUGACGCAAAGAAGAACUUGAAUUUGAACAUAUUUCUCAAGCAAUUCAAAUGCUCUCAUGAUGAGUUUCUGGUGUUGAUUCAGAGUGGGGAUCGCUCUAAGUUCGAUGUGGAGGUCUUGAAGCAGCUUAUUAAACUCUUACCUGAGAAACAUGAGAUAGAUAACCUGAAAUCCUUCCUGGGAGAAAAAUUAAAGUUGGCCAAUGUAGACCGAUUCUACAUCUCUCUCCUGGCUGUACCAUGUUACCAGCUGAGGAUAGACUGUAUGUUGCUGUGUGAGGAGACCACCUCAGUACUGGACAUGCUCAAGCCCAAAGCAGAGGUGGUUGAAUCAGCAUGCCAGUGUCUCAGAAUGAGCACUCUCAUGCCUAGUUUCUGCAGGCUCAUCCUUGAUGUGGGAAACUUCCUCAACUAUGGAAGUCACACAGGGAACGCUGAGGGCUUUAAGAUCAGCUCUCUGCUGAAGCUGACUGAGACUAAGGCCAACAAGAGCCGCAUUACCCUGCUCCAUCACAUUCUGGAGGAGACAGAGCUGAACCACCCAGAGCUGUUGAACCUUCCUGACGACAUUGAGAUUUGUGAAAAGGCAGCUGGAGUCAACCUUGACUCCAUUCAGGCAGAAGCCAGUGCCUUAGUAAAACGACUGAAAGAAGCGGCAAAGAAAGUCACCAACUCUGUGGACGAUGUAAAGGAGCAGUUCGAAAAGGUCAUUGAGGAAAACCUGGAGGCCUGCCUGAAUUUGGAAAAGCGGUUUACAGAGAUUGUGAGGAAGAAGGGUGACCUGGCACUCUACCUGUGUGAGGAUGCAAACCAACUCUCCCUGGAAGAGCUCUUCGGCACCAUUAAGACCUUCAGGGGGCUUUUCAUCAAAGCCUUAAAGGAAAACCAGAGCAGAAAAGAGCAGGCUGUGAAGGCGGAGAAAAGGAAGAAGCAGCUUGAGGAGGAGGAAUCCAAGAGACAGAAGGGGGAGAACGGAAAAAUAAUCCGGAAAGGACCCCCGCCACAGGACGAUGGCUGUAUUAUCGACCACCUCCUUAAUGAUAUCCGGAAAGGCUUUCAUCUCAGGAAGACCCGGUCCAGGUGCGAAAUGGAUAGCCCCCUCUCUUGUGAAAUGAAUAGGGAUACGGGCCAGCCUGGAUCAAGUGUCAAGCCUGUAAAAGAAGAUGUCAAAGCCUCGGUCUCAGAAGUCUCCAGCACUCCCAUUCCCACCCAACCCCAGGCAGAGGAGAGGGCACCAAGAGAAGGAGUGAACGGAUUCCCCAGCAUACCCAAAGAAAUAUACCCCCAAAAAACAGCUUUGUCAAAGACUAACCAGCUCCCAGCUGAAUCCCAGGAUGGAGGGGAGCCUCUGCGAAGCCUCCCCACAGACAAUUUGCCACCUCCGGCAAUACUAGGAAUGGAUGUCCUAAAUAACACCUCAAGCCCCUCUACCUUCACAGACCUGGCUGAAAUCAACCAGAAUGUCAACAGUGGCCUGGCGACGGAGGAAUUGAUGCCUGUGUGCUCACAGAGCAAUGGAGAGGGUCAAAUUAAUGGAGCCUGCACACUGGCUGUCGCUGAUAUGGAUAUGAUUAUAGAGCGCAAGCUGAUGGGAAAAACCAUUGGCCAAGAUGACGUUGAAGGUGAGAGCAGCAGCAUGAUGGUAAAGACUCUUAGACCAGUUGAGACUGGGGAUGACAUGGUGGUGAAGAUGGUGGCACAGGAUAAGGGUGUAACUAACGGACAACAAGACACCAAUGGCAACACAGACACCAAUGACAACAAGUGUUUGGUCAGUGCGGUGCAAAGCGUUGGAGUGGACUCUAAAGAUCUGCUCUCAUCGGUAUCCGAAGCUCUGCCUUCUUUUGAGUCGGGACCCCUAACACCAGAGGAUAAAAAACAGCAGAAGCUCUUUAGAAGAAACAAAAAUAAGAGUAAUGAAGGUAAUGUAUUAAUUCAUUCUAAUAAAGAUGUUUGGAACUGUGGUCUCCUGACGUGUAUGAAAGGGAGAUGUUGUCCCCUUUUUUUAUGUGGUUUUAUUGCAUUUUACUUUAUAUAUAGUGUCUGAUCAUUUGGUGCUGUUUUUAAAAGUUAAGUUUUAGCAUGAAUGUACUGUUUUUGGAAACCGAUCUUAAAAGAUUCCCAUUUACAUCUUAUUGAGUCCUUUCAUGAUCAAAUAGUUUGUUUUUGUUUUUUGUUUGACUCUCUAAAGCACAAGGUAACACUGGAAAGCGACACCCUAAAUGUAAAAAGGGGUGUGUGUUGCAGUGAGGCGAUUCCCGGAAGAGGAAGUCAAGAGGGAAGGAAAUGUUGAGAUGAUAUUUUUUUCUUCUCCCAUACAUGGUUUGUGCACAUUGCAAUGGACUAGGUCUACGUUAUAUUGGACUAAAUUGAUUCCUCCAAGAUGAUAUCGGCAUGUUCUUUCUUCCUUUGGAUGAUUUAGUUCUUAAAAAUAUUGAAAUCAACUGAAAAGCUGCCAUUGUUCCCUGGCAAGGUUGAUUUGUAGCCAACCAAGAAGCUGAGUCAUGAACACGUUCCCAUGCAGCCUGUUAUGUUCCAUUAGGCUACUACUGUCUGUGGUCUCUGCACAGCCACAAUCCCAGCAAACCUACUGUCACUUUUGAAAUAAAUGAAUGAUAUAUGUUGAAAAUAAUAUAAAAUUCCCUUAUUUUUACAUUAUGGAUUAUUUGAACAUCUAUAACAGCUGAGUUCAUCUGACUCUGGGGAAGUAGAUAAAGGGCCACAUUGCCAAAAUCCCAAAGUAUCCCUUUAACUAUGGUCUGUCUUUCGCCUUGCAGUUCAUGCCCUCUGCCUCUUUAUAACCUGUAGUCAGUCCACAUGUGUUUAGGUCCACAGUCCACAUGUGUCGAGCACCUCUAUUAGGGCUUAAAAUGUGAGCAGGUAUUUGAUUAUUGUCCCGGGUUUCCCCACUGGGAGCAGUUUGCAGCGGGUUAAAAGAGAUUGCCUACUGUAGGCUAGACUAAGCACAUGGAGUAAUGAGUAGGUCUGUGUUUUCACAUGUGAAAGUGAUUGCUUUUGAUAAAAACGCAUUAUCUGCAAUCACAAAAACUAGUUUGAAAAUUCUAACAUAUAUUAUAAUGGAAAAAAUAUUUCUGAAAGAUGCACCAUGCUGCCUUGUCGACAACAUGAGAGUGGCACAAAUUACUGUUAGAUUUGAGAAGGGCACUCCUCCCUCACAGAUUUGUCCCUUUCACGCCAUGGGUCAUAGACCAGUGCACCGUGGCUCAGGUUAAUAGAACUCCCUCGUUGUUUACCAACUCCGGUCUUCAAGUACCCCUAACCGCACACAUUUUCAUUGUAGCCCCCAGACAAACACACCUCAUUCAACUCAAGGGCUUGAUGAUUAGUUUACAAGUUGAAUCAGAUGUGCUUGUCUGGGGCUACAAUAAAAAUGUAUACUGAUGGAGGACUGGAGUAGGGAAACACUGUGCUAGGGCAACAAGCAGAUGAGGCGGUGACGUAGGAAGGCCAGGAUGUCUCGCUUCCUCUUCCGUCUCUGGUGAAGCUCUUGAUUCACCUGGCUAGAGGUUAUGCGGUGGGUUUCCAGCUGACCAGUGGAGUCCAGCCGAGGCCACUAUGAAGAAGAUGGGAGAUCACCCGGAACCUAGGGUGGAGAUGAAAUAGAGUGGGGGUAUCUGAGUAAAGUUCUGUCAAGAUAAUGUCAAGUCGAAUUUGAGUGUGUCUCUGCAUGCCCGACUGUCAGUCAGUCAGUUGCUACUCAAAGCAUAGUCUACCUCGGUAGAGUGUUGCAUGGUGAUACACUUGGCUCCUACUUCGGUUGACAGACUUUUUCCUGGCCCCAGCGAUGGUCAGCAGACUGCACCAAGGGGUGAAGAACAGCAGAGGAUCUGAUAGGUGCUCAGCUCUUCUG